GGCUGCAGGCUGUGAGGCUGGGCCGCACUCCGGCCACGCUUUGUCCGGCUUUAGCGGGAUACCAGAGGCACUCGUUAAAGCAAAUGCAUCCCUGCAAACCCAUUCUCGCCCUGACACUUCAAGGCUUUAUAUAGAAACAGGAUUUGCUCGUCUUACACCGGCAGUCCCUAUUAACGCUCGCCCGGCGCACACACCACCCUAAUCCGCGAGGCCGCGGCGUACCCUGGUCCCCUCCCCCCGCCACAACAGCCGUUUUGUUCCCGCAGAAAGCGCCUCGUUGUCCCAGCCCCGGAACGUCUUAAGGAGAACAUCCACUCAGGCGAAAUUGGGGACAAUUUCAGACUCUGGGUGCGGAGGAUCGGAGCCAGUGAUAGAAGCUACGUGCACCACCUUGCUCCCAGGCGUUCCUCCAAAGGCGCUCCCCGGCCGCACUUCACAUAUUCCUCCUCAUCUCCUAAAUACGUAUUGUUUUUAAUGUUUAUCGCCUCCAACAAAAGGGAGAUGGAUAGGCUUGAUAUUCUUAAUUAGGAACUUUGCAGAAAACCUUGUGUUUUUGUAGCCAUCCCACCAUGACAACAAAGCGAUUAAGAUGUUUUCCAUCUCCUGAAUACCUUUUUAAAUUGCGAUAUUUUAUGCUCCCGGUUCUAAAACGUGUUAUUUGCAGACUAUUUUGUGUCUGAUUUAAUCUAUAACCGAAAACAUAAUGUAUUAAGUGAAUACAUAUUUGCUCUGCUGAUAAGCUUUUUUAAUAUUUAUUCGGAGAGCUUUUGCAUUGUAAAUAAAUGGGUCUACACAAAGA